GACGAACGCUGGCGGCGUGCUUAACACAUGCAAGUCGAGCGGAAAGGCCCUUCGGGGUACUCGAGCGGCGAACGGGUGAGUAACACGUGAGUAACCUGCCCCAGACUUUGGGAUAACCCUCGGAAACGGGGGCUAAUACCGGAUACGACACAGCUUCGCAUGGGGUCUGUGUGGAAAGUUUUUCGGUUUGGGAUGGGCUCGCGGCCUAUCAGCUUGUUGGUGGGGUGAUGGCCUACCAAGGCGACGACGGGUAGCCGGCCUGAGAGGGCGACCGGCCACAGGGGGACGGAGCGACGCCCCAGCCCCCAAGGGGGGGCAGUGGGGGGAAAUAUGGCAAAGGGGGGGGAAGCCUGUGGAGGAGGCCCGGGGGGGGGGAAGAGGGCCUUCGGUUGAAAAACCUUUUGCGGGGGAGAAGAACCGAAAGUGACGGUACCGAAAGAAGAAGCGCCGGCAAACUACGUG
rnacentral:rRNA from 1 species